ACUGACAAGUGGACUCAGUCGUGGUGUAGCAAGGAAAGGGAGAGGAUACGCCUGUUAGACUUCCUGGCCAAACCUUACUCAGUGAUUGUCAUAUCCUCGUUAAAACAUGGCCAUUAGUGUCAUUAAUCGCGUUGGGUAUUGCAAUUUAUCUUUAACACCGCGGAGUAGCUGUAGAGGGCCCAGCGCCCCCCCCUACUUAGGCCUCCCAUAUAUAGACCUAUGCGGUUUCCCCGUGACCCGCGUGCCGAUUUCGUUGACCAGCGGGGCAUACAGUGCUUCUGAGAGCCCCCGCCCCAGCCCCGAGACCUGCGGGGUGACCCACUGGACUUGAGGCUGAGUAGCUAGCGUUCGGCCUUGCAUUCUCCCUGGACGCGGCUUCACGCUGCCACCAGGGAUUUUCCUGUCACCAGCGAGGGGCCUAAGACUACCCACAUGCUGUCCUGAAGACCACCCAGCAACCCGGGCUCUAGAGGAAACCGCCCAAGUCCUGGUGGCACCCGACCCGAGCUACUGGAACUGCCGUUGGCUGGCGGAUGAGAUCUUCCUGACGGAUGUGACGGCCAACUUCCUGACUGUGAGGAUCGGGGAGUGCAAGAAGCGCCCGGAGGUUUUCAAGGACACGACCGACCCAAACCAGAAUUCCCAGUGCUCGAUUGUGUGAUGUGUUGUGAUUGUGAAUGUCUUGACUUUGCUGGUGAAGGUUUCCAUGGUGAACAGGAUCAUACUGAAAAGAUAUUAGCCGGGGGUCUUCAAGGACACGACCGACCCAAACCAGAAAUCCUAGUACUCAAUUAUGUGGUUAUUGCGAAUAUGUCUUGACUUUGCUGGUGAAGGUUUCCAUGGUGAACAGGAUCAUACUGAAAGGAUAUUAGCAUGGAAAGAUAUUGUUGUGCUGUGUUCGUGGGAGUCCCGUAAACAAACAUGUGGGUACAGCUAUUACUGGACGCAAAAUGUUAUUGUAAAGCCUGCUGGAUACAUUUGACAAGCAUAGAAAACCACCUAAAAAUUAUAAGUUAAAACUCUGUCAUCACUUGCAGAAUUGGAAGUCCAAACAAUCUAAACUGAUACUUCAAAGGGAGCCCACAGCCUUGGGAUUACUUUAGGCAUUUGGGUUUGAGUCUUGGUGCAAAGCCAGAUUUUUAAGAAAUUUAUUUAUAAAAUUGUACGGGCCGUGAACACCUCGUGUGUGACCCCCUGCUGCUCACAAGCAGCCGUACACCAAUUAGCCCAGUAGCAGCGACGGGACAAAUUUGUGGCUUUACCGUGGAGCAGCGACGAGCCAAACUUGUGCCAUGAUUUAAACCCAAAAAAAUAGAUGAUACAUAAGCUGAUCACAAAUGUUUUGAUAUAUAUUAUGAAAUGGUUUGUGUGAGGGGUGAUUUUUUCUCAUUUUUCUCGCUUAGAGGGACCAUUAAGAAAUAUGAUCCCCGCUGCUACCGGGUUGAAAAAAACAAAACUUCCUAUGGAGAAAAAAUAUUCUCUGGGGAAGCUCAAGAGAUAGAGGAAGGCCAUUUCCUGAGGAGUAUUAUGCACUCUUUGUUUUGCUUGUUAGGGCAAACACAGAUUUUUAAUUAGUAUUUUCCCACCAGUAGUACUAUGGGUUGUCCACCUCACCCUACAAUGGAAACAAUAUAACAUUUGAAAAACCAUUCUAUUCCACCUUCUGUAUAAAAAGAGAUGUUAUAUGUUUUUUCCUGUUUUAGUCAUGGAAUUUACCAUUGUGCAGAAUAUUGUUGUACACUUGGAGAGACUUAGAGGGUCACUACAUACACACUUGGGCACAUACACAGGAGGAGGCUUUUCAAACAGGCAAAUGUUGGUGCCCAGAUGUUUAAAAAUGCUGCUUGGAAGUCUGGAAGAGUGACUGGAAUCUGCGACUUCUUAGCUGAUGGGGGCUUCGUGGUGCAGUGGUUAGCACACUCAGCUCACAACCAAGAGAGCACGGGGUCGAUUCCCAGGCGGAGUGGAAAAAUUUGGGCGGCUUUUCCGAUACCCUACGCCCCUGUCCACCCAGCAGUGAAUGGGUACCAGGUAUUAAUCGGGGGUUGUGUCCCGUCUCCUGGGGUCUGUUCUCUUCUCCUAUAAUUCCUUCCCAUUCUGUCUCUCUCCGACACAUGACCACAGAUGUUGCGCCCACUAAACAAAACUUUCCAACUUUUUCUCUGGUGAUUCUCUGUACAGGCAGUGGUUCGGAAGGUGUACUAGACUGCCUCCAGCUGACUGUUUGAGGCUCUACCAUGUCUUCCGGUCAUGGUUUUAGGGUUUCCGCCGUCCAUAAGCUUAAGAAAUCUUGUGUACUGUAUUUCCAAGCUUCUGAAAAUGGACCCAAAAUAUCAUACUGAGUGCCUCUCUAAUGUUCAUCUCUAUGUAUAGGGAAGGGAGUUGUAUCAUAGCCUGUUAAGAAUAUUAAGGUGUCUAUUGUGUAUUUCCAGGCCUCUGAAAAUGGACCCAAAAUGUCAGAAUGAGUGCAUGUUGUACCUCUAAUGUUUAUCACUAUGUAUAGGGAAGGGAGUUGUACCCACAGAGUUAUAUACAUAGAGGGUUCCCAGAGCCUGGAUUUUGAAGCAACUGGCGGCCAUCUUAGGGUGACGAAUGGCGAGACAGAGAGAAAUUUACUUUCACAUAGUUAUGUCUGCUAUUAUCAGGUCAGCAGUGCCUCAGCGACCCUCUGUCAGAUAGACUUGUUAUUUUCUUGUCCAUUUUCUACCCACUGACUAUUGUUACAUUGGUACAGUCAUAUACCAUCUGCGUCGGAAAAACAUGCUCAAUUUGAAGCUGUAAACGAAAAUCUAAUACAAUAAAAAGUUCCUGAAUGACAAGUAAUUGAGGCAAAAAAGAUGAACAAAAAUGUUUAUACACUACCAUAAUGAUAUGCAGCAAUGUCUCAUGAACACGAUGAUCGGCUCAGUUUUCCAAAAUAUCAUAAUGGUGGCUUGCUAAUAGUGGUUAUGUGUAUACAUGUGGAACAACGGAAAGGUCGCCAAUCCGUCACCCUAUGGCAGCCGACCACAGGUAGGAGCAGUGGCUUCACCUCUCACCGUGGCGAGAGAUUGGAGUUGAACCCUCUAGUCUAUAACUCUGUGGUUGUACCAUAUCCUGUUAAGAAUAUUAAGGAGUCUGUUGUGUAUUUCCAGGCCUUGGGAACUGUGACAAUGGACUGAAAACAACAUUGGAAUUAGUGCAAGAUAUACCCCUGAUGUCCUGCUCCUGUUCUUCCCUUGUAUAGAGAGAGAGGAAGGAAAGAACAGACAUAGUUAGUGAUGUGCUGGAGCCUUUGUUGUUUGUUUGUUUCUUAUUCCUGUCUAGUGAAAAAUAAUAAAAAUAAUAAUAAGAGGAAGAGAUGAUGUUAUGAGCUAUUGUGUUCUUAAGGGCUGAUUAAACUUUGCUGGUAUUGGAA